rnacentral:lncRNA from 1 species
CAUUUAUUCUUCACAGUUCUGGGGUUAAUGUUCAAUAGGGGUCUCAUUGGCUAAAAGUGGGGUGUCUGCAGGGUGAGUUCCUUCUGGGUGCCCUAGGGCAGAAACCAUCCCUGAGUUUCCCAGCUUUGGUGGCUGCCCACACCCCUUGGCUCCUGGUCCCUCUUCCACCUCCAAAGUCAGCAGCACUGGCUGGCCUCUCACACAGCAACUUCCUGCCACCAGCUCUCUGGCCUUUCUCCCCGACAUUGCAGAACCUCUGCCAUUAUGUCAGAGCACCUGGUCCAUCCUGGGAAACCUCUUUAGUUAAACUUAGUUGAUGGGCAAGCUCACUCCUGCUCACCUGUAACCAUUCACAGCUUCCCAGGACUGGGACAGGGACAUCUCCGGAGACUGCCGUCCCCCUCACCUGUAACCAUUCACAGCUUCCCAGGACUGGGACAGGGACAUCUCCGGAGACUGCCGUCCCCCUCACCUGUAACCAUUCACAGCUUCCCAGGACUGGGACAGGGACAUCUCCGGAGACUGCCGUCCCCCUCACCUGUAACCAUUCACAGCUUCCCAGGACUGGGACAGGGACAUCUCUGGAGACUGCCGUCCUCCUCACCUGUAACCAUUCACAGCUUCCCAGGACUGGGACAAGGACAUCUCUGGAGACUGCUGUUCCCCGAUACUUGCUUUACAACUUGGAAUUUGAGCUCUGAAGCCCGCAAAAGAAUGAGUCCUUGCUGAUGGGACACUGGCAGUGGCCUCCAGGGAGUGGCCUGUGACUGAGGUCCCUUGAUCUGCUUGUGGAUCUGCCGCUACAUCUUUGGAGUUGAAACAGACACAAUGGGAAUCCACCCGUCAACUCUCAUCAUCAAUACAUUUCCGGUUCCCUAGAGGCCAUGGCUGAAAAUCUAGCUGGAAAUCAUUUUAUGGAUGAAUGCCGGCUAACACCGUGGGGUUCCAGGUUCUGUGCUAGGUGGUCUGUCUAGGUGAGAGCACUAAAUGUUCACUAUGAGCCUGGAAGGAGGAGGACCCCAUGACGCCCUUUCUGUAGAUAAGCAAACUGCGCUAAAGGUGGUGAUGACUCGCCCACUUCAGCCAGUGACCCGGCAGAAGGCACAUCCCUGAACCAGGCUCCAGUGGGUGCGACUGUGCCUGAGGAGUUGUCUGGGGCUUUUUGUGGCAGCAGCCCAGGGAUCAGGUGA